rnacentral:rRNA from 1 species
GGCGAACGCUGGCGGCGUGCUUAACACAUGCAAGUCGAACGGUAAGGCCCUUCGGGGUACACGAGUGGCGAACGGGUGAGUAACACGUGGGUGAUCUGCCCUGCACUUCGGGAUAAGCCUGGGAAACUGGGUCUAAUACCGGAUAGGACUCCUGGCUUCAUGGUUGGGGGUGGAAAGCUUUUGCGGGGUGGGAUGGGACCGCGGCCUAGCAGCUUGUUGGGGGGGUAAUGGCCUACCAAGGAGACGACGGGUAGCCGGCCUGCGAGGGUGACCGGUCACACUGGGACUGAGAUACGGCCCAGACUCCUACGGGAGGCAGCAGUGGGGAAUAUUGCACAAUGGGCGCAAGCCUGAUGCAGCGACGCCGCGUGAGGGAUGACGGCCUUCGGGUUGUAAACCUCUUUCAGCUAUGACGAAGCGCAAGUGACGGUAGUAGCAGAAGAAGGACCGGCCAACUACGUGCCAGCAGCCGCCGUAAAAC